CAACGAGUCGCAAGACCGCGAGGUUUAGCAAAUCUCUUAAAGCCGUUCUCAGUUCGGAUUGUAGGCUGCAACUCGCCUACAUGAAGUCGGAAUCGCUAGUAAUCGCGGAUCAGCAUGCCGCGGUGAAUACGUUCCCGGGCCUUGUACACACCGCCCGUCACACCAUGAGAGUUUGUAACACCCAAAGCCGGUGGGGUAACCUUUUGGAGCCAGCCGUCUAAGGUGGGACAGAUGAUUAGGGUGAAGUCGUAACAAGGUAGC
rnacentral:rRNA from 1 species